AGUGACGUGAUUUCAGCCAGUUGUUCUUCAGUAUGGAACAAUCCUAAACACAAGAAACCCAGCUUCUUUCUGCCUGACAGGAAGACUUGCAGAGAUGCAAACUUCAGGCUGGAGAGGCUUAAACUUUGUAGCAGUUUAUUGGAUGGACAUCAGUCAGAAUACCCUGACAGAGAAUGGGAAAGUGCAAAUGCUGAAGAUACAAUACUGAGGAAAAAAAUCUAAAUAGCAAGUCUCUCUUUGUAUAUAGAAGUAUUGAAGAAGGAAUUUCUCCUGUGACAGAAAGACUUGAAGAAUAGGGAUGUAGUCUGAGAUCAGCAGAUCAAGUCUUGGCAAACUGCUGCUGUCGUGUAAGAUCUGCACUGAAAGAGGAAGACAUUUGCCGUCAGCAUAAGUGCAAUCAACAUAAGGUGAAAUUAUUCAGGUUUCUCCAGACCUUUACAAGGAUAGAUUGUUUUCUGCAAGCUGUGCCUCAAGUGUAAAACUCCAAAUUUCAUGAAACCUGUUCUACAAUGACAAUGGAUGUUCCUUAAAGCUUUUGUGAGGACAUUCCUGCUGUGCCUGCACUGGCAGGUGACACAUAAUAUAAUGUGCAUUAGAUUUCAAAGGCUGCUUCAGGUGAUGGAUCCUGCCAUUCCCUCUGGAGGUCUUGUUCCUCACAGUGUGCUGAUGCUUCACCAGAGAAUUGGUCCAGUGUCAAGUCAGACUGAAAUCCAACCCCUCCAACCAAGGAACCUCCUCUGCUCCCCUGGACCAGCCCUGGACCUCCAGCCUGAAGAGCUGCUUCAAAAGAAUGUAGAUCAUUUCAGCCUUCUCCAGCCACUAAAGACAAGCUGUUCAAAACUUUUGGCCUAUUUAUUGUUCUCUGAGAUGUAUUAAGGUGGCAUUUGCCUAAAUCAGGUGAGAGAAGAGAAAGGAAAGGUAGAUGGUUUAUCAAAAUCAGAUCCAUUUCUUGCAGGGGCUGAGUGACUGUUAGAACAGCAGCACAGCUGAAAUACCUGGAUUUUGCUUUUAUGCGUGUUGCAGCUUGACCCAAAGAGCCAGUCUACAGUUAAAAAGUAGGAGAGGAUGCAUUCAGUGCCUGUUGUUCACACAACUACUGGGGAUAAAUGGCAGUAUUUGCAGGUGUGGAGCUGCUCUUGUCCAGGCUAAGGGUUGUGAUGGUGUUGGGAUAGACUCUCCUUUUUCUAUUCUGCUCACACUGUGUGCAGAAGUUUGAAGUGAGAGCUGUGGCUACAGUGGUUUGGACUAAAGCCACGUGCCAGUUACAAGAGUUCCACAGUCCUUGUGUAGCAUGUACUGGGACACGCAUGGCUGCUAGAGCUGGGGGUUGUUUCUCUGCAGGAGUUUGGGUUUGCUUUCCCUUGCUGUGGGGCUGGCAGUACCCAGGGCCAAGAGCCCAUUGUGCUGCUGAUUUGGAAGUAAGCUGCUUCCUCAGAAACUACUCUCACUCCCAAAAUGUAAUUUCCAGGCAUGCUCAGGCAUUUUUCCCAACACAAGGGUGUAUCAGUCACACACCACAGAGCAUGUGUGUAUACAAGGGACACAUCUGUACAGCACUUUUCUAAGAGGUAAUGUUUAGAACCUUGUUGUUCCAGUGUGCAUGUUUCCUUGUGAUUUAUGAUGAUUGUAAAUAAGGGAAUGUGUUACAUUUUUGGCAAUUUGCC